ACGACGAGCAGCUUCCUUCCUCAGUUCUUCUUUCAUGAUGCCUAUCUACCAUGGUGAGUACAACUCUACUGGGUUUGCUGGUGAUGAGCCAAUGUUACAACAACACGAACCUGAACACCCCACCAACAU
rnacentral:ribozyme from 1 species